GUCUGGUUCCCAGAGCGACAUGGUGUGUUCCGGCUGCCCUUGCCCCUCGCACUCACUUCCCCUCCUUCCAGCCAGUGGGUGGAACUGAAGAGAGCCUCUCCAGGGAGCCGGCACGCAGUCCAGAAGGCUGCAGUAUUUCCUCCAAGGGGGCAGGAAAAAAAGAAGAUAAAGAAGAAGAAAAAGAAAGAGGCUGCUGCCGCCUCUCCGCUAGCUCUCUGGAAUAGCACAGUGAGCAGAGUCUGCAGCCAAGCCGCCGGGUGGAACCGAACCCCAGCGUGUCUCAGAAGUGCCUGGGUGGGGCAUGGCCCGGCCCUCCCUGCCCUGCUCCGACCGGGGCUCCCAAGAUCCCAAGCUGUCUUCUCUUCAAUCGCCAAGUUCCCAGAGAUGAAGAUGUAGCACUCUCAGCUCCUCCAGCACCAUGCCUGCCUGGAUGCUGCCAUGCUUCCUGCCUGGAAGAUAAUGGACUAAAUGUCUGAACUUGCCAUCAGACUUUGACGUUUGCCUGACCGUCCCCAAAGUCCGCUCUGUUCACAGACAUGAGGAUCGCCUUCUGACAACGCAGUCCUUUCCCGCUUGUCUGCAGUCCUGCAGCGGAUGAGCCUCGAGCCUCGAGGUGCCUGGAAACACUAGAGAUGGAAACAGAUUCUAAGCCACGGCUGAGCCAAACGGCAAAAAGAAAGAAAAAAGGAUUGCUGAGCGCAGCUGUUGCCUCCGUGGGUCAGUCCCACUCCCAAGGAUUUCGGGGUCGUUUCUGAUCAAUCAGGAUGGUGGGAGGUGACCCAGUUUCACAGCAUCUGAGCGAUUCCAUUUUCCUGUGAUCCAAUUCCAUCGUGGAGCCGAGAAGAAAGGUCCAGCAGAGAGAGACACUCGCAUUCUCUUCAAAUGCUUUCUUCGGAGAGGUUGUUUCUCUGACGGGAGGAAGAAGGAAACUGAAGCCUAUGUCUAAGGCUGGGAUUGCCUGGCUGCAGACUCUUCCCUGGCUACCAACCUUCUUCCCCAGCAUGAGGCAGACGGCUGAGGAGUCUGACCUUUCAGGACCAAGAACCUAAGAACCUGUAGAAGUAUGGAGGAAUUCACGCCAAUAUGUUUUAAGCACUGGGGAUGUAACCCUGUGAAUUCUGCAGCACUGUAAAAUUGGUAAUUUGUAAAAUACUCAGUGGCACAGAAAACCAAACCAACAAAGAGAAAAAGGAUGAAUGAGAUCCACUUUCUCCAUAUCUCUUACCUUGAUUUACCAUCGCAGCAAUGCUUUCUUUUAUAAGCAGCAUUUAUAAGAUUUUUCUUUUAUAAGAUUUUUAUUUCAAAAAUCAAGGAAAUACCACCAGAGACCAAGAGACAGUAAGUCUGGUCAAGAGAGAUUUGGGCCCUACCUUUAAUCCUUAAUAAUGGCCCAGAAAACUACUUCUCUCUUGCUUUUAUAAUGUCUUUGUCAAGUCCAGCAAAGGCACAGGCUGGGCAAGCAUUUUUAUGCUGGCCUCUUCAGAUAGCUUUGUAUAAUUUACAUUAUUUUUAAUUUCAGUAAUAGCAACUAGCUGGCUAAGGCAAUAAGCACUUUUUAACAAUGAAUAAAUAAAGAAAUCGCUCAUAUUUCAAUUAAGUAACGGAACGAAAUCAUAACGAGCACGGCUGUUUCAUUUUAUUCGGCUGUUUCUCAAAGAAUGUUCAUUAGGAAUGUUGCAUUGUUAAUAUUUAUAAUGUUUGCACUAAUAUAAUUCAUAUUAUGGUGUUCAGGGUAAUAUUGGAGAAUUAGAAGAACACUAAUCUCUAAUAGAGUGAGCCAUUGCACCAACACAGAAUACUGUUUUCCUUGAGCCAGUGAUGUCACCCGUGGCUUGAAAAAAAUCAUUGUUUAUAAUUUCUGUGUAUAUUUGUCUACCUGGGGUGUGUGUCUCUGUGUCACAGUGCAUGUGCAGAGGUCAGAAGACAACCUCAGGUAUCAGUCCUUGCUUUCUAUCUUGUUGAGGACAGCUCUCUGUCUGUUCACUGUGGCAUGUGGUGGCUUAGCUGGGCUGUGUCAUUCUGGGAUUUUCCUGUCUCUGUCUCUCCUCUCCUGCAGGAACCCUGUGGCUACAGCCACAUGCAACCGUAUUCAGCCUUUGUGGAUUCUGGGGACAUUGUCCAAGGAGCCACCUCCCCAGCCCUGCCUCUUCUGUUCUUGUCACUUGACAGAUGUUAGGGAAACGAGCGGGGAGGGUUGAGGAGGUGUGGCUGGCCCCAUUUAUUUAGACAUCUAAAAAAAUUGUCCAGCCUCUGCUCUGCUUUUAUGUUAGUACUGAUGAAUGAAAGGGCAUAUGAAUAAGGAUAUAUUUAAUUAUGAAUGAGUGUGUACCUAUACAUCAUUCUAGAAAACAAUGGUAUUGAUAAGUGCAAUUCAUAAUCUUUUCUCAGAUAUAACACAUAGUGAUUAUUUAAGAAAGCCCCAUAUAACUGUUCUGGAUUAAGUGCAGGUUUCAGAACACGUGUGCAUACUAUAUGGAUAGUGCUUACUCUGAUUGACUUUGAAAACGCAUUUGAAGCCAGCUGUGGCAGUACACACUUUCUAUCCUAGCAUUGUGGAGGCUGAGACAGAAGCGAGGCAGUUCAAGGCUUGUCUGGGGCAUAUAGUGAAGUCACAUCUUUUAGGUUUUUUGGAUUUA